rnacentral:rRNA from 1 species
GACAGAGGAGGCAAGCGUUGUCCGGACUUACUGGGCGUAAAGCGUCCGCAGGUGGUCGGGCAAGUGCCGUGUGAAAGCCCCCGGCUCAACUGGGAGGGUCACGCGAUACUGAUCGACUCGAAGGCAGGAGAGGGUAGUGGAAUUCCCGGUGUAGUGGUGAAAUGCGUAGAUAUCAGGAAGAACACCUGCAGCGAAGGCGGCGCUCUGGGACUGGAACUGACGCUGAGGAGCGAAAGCGUGGGAGCAAACGGG